CAAAAAUUUCAAUUGUUUAAGUUGAUUUUUAUUAAUUCCGUUUGAAUAAUACAAUUAAAAUUCUUCAAAUAUAAUUCUCUGCAGUUUUAUUUAAUCUAAUUUACUUCCUGCAGCUUAGCUUAAAGCUAUUUUCUCCUGAAAUGAAAUACCAGGAAAAUUCUUUAGAUAGACAAGUAUAAAGAAAGGUUUCUUAGACGAGACAUUCGAUCGUCUAGUCGGCUAGACGGUGUAAAGGAUACCCACCUUGAUUUUCUCAAGAAUAAUCGCAAAAAAAUUAAUAAUAAAAUUAGGAAGAUACGGAAACAAAAAUCAAUGUUUGCUAUUCAUGUGAUAAAACUUCGUUCUUUUCUUAAUAAACCUAUUUAUAAGUUAUUAUUAACAUUUAUUAAAUAAAUUUUAAAAAGUUACAUAUCAAGUAUACCGAAUAAAACUUUAUGUAACGAUACUGUAUUACAAAAUUAAUUUCGUUUUUUCCCCGUACUACUUUAACCGUAUGCUUAAAGGUGAGGCUAGUAAAUAUGUAAGGACGAAAUAUUAUACGUUCAUCGAUUGCUUAACGUGGUGAUCUGUUCGUUAUACGAUUUCGUGACGGAUCAAGAUAUAACGUGACGUUAAAAGAAAUGACAGAAAAAUCAUCUCUCCCAGAAGUAUAUAAUAGCUUUUUACAAUAACCAUACGAAGUGAACAAAUAAAAGCUCUAUAGAGAGUUAAAACUACCAAUAGUCAUACCGGUCUACUUCCACCUUGCGAAAAGUCCGAAAAGUGUCACGCGUCACGAACUGUCACAUACCAUACACACGAAGUGCACAGCCUACUUGUGCCACUUUCUUCUACUAAGGCACUGUUUGCCCUGUACUCGGGCGAGGGGCCAAAUUUUGGGAGAUCUUUAAACCACACCUGAGGCAAACCAAUACAGCGCACCUGGUUUAAAAAUUUCUCUCUACUUAUUAGACUUUGAAAAAUGGUGAUUAUAUGCAUGUAACUCACAAUGAGGAAGCAAAUUUUUGAGAAAAAAUACACGCGAAUGACGUCGCAGAUUAUCCUAUCAAAGCAUAUCGUAAUAUUUUUUACAUAACAAAAAUUAGAACGUUAAAAAAUAAAAAUUAAGCAUCGGUAGAGAUUAAAAUGAUGAUAAGAAUGAAUUGAUAAUAUUUUAACUUCUCGAUUUAUAAAGUUGCUAUCAAAGGUUAAGAUCUGUGGCGUAACAAUGCUAUUUUUACAGUCGAACUUUUCUGAAUGGGCAAAUCUGAUGGCUUGUUUAUUCUAUAAUUAAUAUAAGUGGGAUGUUUUUUGAUUGAGGAGGUUAACGAUCUUGCUUUUGUUCUGGUUAUCAACGCCCACAUCCCCUAUUGUCGGGGGAUGUAUUAUCGAUAGAUUUGAAAACUAGUACAAGCAUAAAUAUAUUUUUUAAACUAAAUUUCUGCUUCAAAUACCUAAUUACAAGCAAAACUUUUAUAGGCCUAAUCGAUUUAGUUAGGCAGUAAAACAUUUCCUUUCAUCUCAACAAGCUUAUCUUCACCUUCCAGCUGCACCAGACCCAAUGGGAGCGUGUUCAAAAUUGAACAUCAACUUCUCUCGAGUAUUUUUAAAU
rnacentral:lncRNA from 1 species